UUUCCGUAGGUGAACCUGCGGAGGGAUCAUUAUCGUACAAAAUAUCACGGACAUCCUAGUGAUCUCUCUUACCCGUAGCUCGUGCACGCCCGCUUCUGGCGUGUUCCCGAAGGCUCCAUCUCACCCUUUGUGCGUCACCGCCUGUACACCCUUCGGAAUCAUCUCGAAUGUUAGCUCUCGUUAUCACAGAAACCCUCCUUUUAAAAGUGUAGAAUAACGACAUUGAUGCAAUCAACACAAGUUUCAACAACAGAUCUCUUGACCCUCGCAUCAAUGAAG
rnacentral:misc_RNA from 1 species